AGCCAAAUAAUUAGCUUUAAUAGCAAUAUUUCUGCUUUUGGCUUUUGGCUGAUAGAUUAACAGUUACGUUAUUACCCCCGCACAUUUCCUCUAAAUCCUUUCAAAAUAAAAGCAUCGAUGUAAUUAAUUUUCUUUAUGUUUCUGGUUCUGACUGAAUAAUUACCAAUUGUUAUUGAGAAUAUUUUACAGUUCAGUAAGUAAACAUACACACAUAUUAUGGUGCUCUUAUUCUGAAAGAGCUUAAUCUAAAUCUUUGGUUUAAUAGGGUUAUUUUUGCUUUUGAAUGAUAAAUUAUGAGCAUUUAAUGACUAUUUUACAGUUUAGUAAUCACUCACACACGACCUCUAAAUCUUUUCAAAAUAAAAGCGCCAAUGUAAUUUAUUACCUUAAAUGGCAAGAUUCUUGGUUCUUUUGGUUAAUUAUGACUACUUAUUAAACUAUUAUACAGUUAGGCAAUUAACUACAAAUACUUCCUCAAAUCCUUUCAAAUUAAACAGCUAGUCAUCUUUUUUACGAUUGUCUGUUGGCACCUUGGUAUCUUUUUAAUCUUUGACAUCUUUUUACCUCUGUCAAUUUUUGAAUCAUUGUCAUCUUUUCAACCUUGUCAUCGUUUCACCUCAUUUUCACUGUUUUGUCGUAGUCAAUUUUGUGACGUCAGCAGCUUAAUCAGCAUUUGGCAUCGUUGCGGCAGCAGAUCAGCAGAAAUGACUUUUUCUAGUUAAUGGAAGAGCUGGAAACAGCUCUCGCACUAUUGAUGUCUUCAGUCUUUAAUAUUAUUAUUAUUUUGCCCGUUUUUCGAUCACUUUCAUCGUCUCAAGCCUGAGCCUGAUUUCCCCACCUCUCGUCUCCAUGGAGCUGCAGAUUUCACUGACAGACUAAAACUCCUGAGGCUUAGUGUACACAGCAGUUAAGCACACACUUCCUCUAAACUUUUCAAAAUAAAAGCACCAAUCAGCGUUUGGCAUCGUUGCGGCAGCAGAUCAGCUCUCCCACACAAUUUCUCGAGAAAUUACUUUUUCUAGUGUUUAAAUUCUCAUCCCAAAUUGUCCAACUCCUUUAGGAGCAGAACUUUGUGUUUAGACUUUUUCAGGACUUCGCCUACAUACUUCCUUGUCUGUUUGCCUGACCAGCUUUACUAGUUUGUCCAGUCCCUUAAAGGUCCACACAUAUGCUUUUUUCAUGCUACGUAAUGCUAAAGAAUUGGACCUUGAUGUCUCAAUAAGGUGUCUGUAACUUUUUAUGCCAAAAAGCGCUGUAGAUCACCCACACGGCGCGUCUGAAAAUGUGUUUUAAGCUCUCGUCCACAACACUCGGUUUUAGGGGUGUGUCGCCAGCAAAGUUGAUCGCCACAACCCUUCAAGGAAGCGCAUAGCCGUGAUCCGCCACGGGGAUCGAAAGACACGGUGACUGCAUCCAUUGUAACAGCGAAACUGGCUACCUCGUCCUCGUAGUGGAGUUCAACUAUAUGUUUGAUCCAAAAUCUGACUCUAAAGUCGAAUGGGAGACUGUUUAAGUGGUUACACUUCAACUGGCGCAAGUUCUCCAUAAUGGGACCUUCAGCUGCAGCUUACAUUUUGCCGCAUUUGUCUGUAAUUAAGUGCCAAUGUGGGAACAGGGAAUACCUACAGAGGCAUGGUGUGACAGCAACUGUUGCUGUAAAGAAAUCGCAUGUGUUUAAUACUUUUAUUAAUGUGACAUGGUAUUUUAAAUUAAAAUUUCGAUAAACUUUA